AUGAAAAGAGAGGUGCUAGGAGAUCUUAGCCAGUGGAUAAUGAAGCAUUAUGACCCUGAGAUCUCAUAGAUAGUCAUUCCAGAAAGGGGGAAGAUUCCUGUAGAUGCCGCAAGUGUUCGCAGGAUAUGGGGUUUGCCAAAUAGGGGCAGGAAGGUGUGCUUCAACAAUCAGCAUGAAAUCACAAAGGCAAUGUACAGUAUUUACAACAUCACAUCCAAGAACUCCCCAACCCUCACAGAAUGGUGCAAGAUGAUCAUAGACAUGGGAGAAUCUUAUGAUGAUGACUUUCUCCGUGCUUGGCUAGCUCUUGUUUUUUCGUGCUUCCUUGCCCCCUCAACUAGUUUAAGUAUUCCCCAAAAUACUUCCCGGCGGUCAUGGAUGUCAAUGAAAUAA
rnacentral:rRNA from 1 species